CAGAGUUAGGGUUGCCCUCGCGGUGCCCGACCUCCCAACCCUUUGCCUUGAAAAACAGCGUCCGAACGCGAGUUCGCACGCCAUGUAUAUACGUUGCUUCGGCGGCUCGCACCGCCGGAGGAACCGUAAACCAAAACUCUUGUUUUCAACCAUGUAACCGUCUGAGAAAAAACUUUAAUAAGUCA
rnacentral:misc_RNA from 1 species